rnacentral:rRNA from 1 species
UUUCACUGAAACAAGGGAAACCAUUAGCAGCAGUAAGGAAUUUUAUGUAAUAUACGAAAGUAAGACAUAGUUAGGACAUUUGUAUCUGUCAAAUUAAGUGCCAGCAGACGCGGUGAAACUUAAGGAUUUGUUUUUUAGAAAAAGCAGAAAGCGUGUAAAGGUAAAAAAAUAUUUAAAAUAAAUAGAAUUUUUUUAGUAAUAGUGAAAUGUUAUUAUAAGGAAAAGAAUUCUUUAUGUGAAAAUAAUUUAUUUUUUUUUUCUUAAGCACGAGGGUUUUGGGAGUAAACAGGAUUAGAGACCCUGGUAAUCAAUACAGUAAAAAAAAAUCGCUUGAGUAGUACGGUCGCAAGAUUAAAAUUCAAAAAAUUUGGCUGUUCAUUGUUAUUUAGAGGAGUGUGUCGUUUAAUUCGAUAAUCCGCGAAUUACCUUACCAAGACUUGGUUUUCCGGUGUUGCAUGGCCGUCGUCAAUUUAUGUUUGAUACAAUAAAUUAAAUCCUAGAAAGGUUGAAGUCAGGUAUUAUUGCCCUUAUGUUUUGGGAUUAGAUGCGCUACAUUUUUUUAAUAAAAAAAAAAGAGUUCGGAUUGUUUUUUAAAUAGAGCAAUUAAGGUGAAUUUAAUAGUAAUUGAAAAGUAGAGCGUUUCAAUGAAUUUAAAACAAUGUUAGUACAAAUUGCCCGUCGCCUUUGCUGAGGUAAACAAAGCAGAGUAAGUCGUAACA